rnacentral:rRNA from 1 species
UUGGAAAAGCUCAAAUUUAAAAUCUGGCGGUUUUGUCGCCCGAGUUGUAAUCUGGAGAAGCGUUUUCCGUGCCGGACCGUGUACAAGUCUCUUGGAACAGAGCGUCAUAGAGGGUGAGAAUCCCGUCCAUGACACGGACUCCCGGUGCUUUGUGAUACGCUCUCGAAGAGUCGAGUUGUUUGGGAAUGCAGCUCAAAAUGGGUGGUAAGCUCCAUCUAAAGCUAAAUAUUGGCGAGAGACCGAUAGCGAACAAGUACCGUGAGGGAAAGAUGAAAAGCACUUUGGAAAGAGAGUUAAACAGUACGUGAAAUUGUUGAAAGGGAAACGCUUGAAGUCAGUCGCGUCUUACUUGACUCAGCCUUGCUUCGGCUUGGUGUAUUUCAAGUAGGAUGGGUCAACAUCGAUUUUGACCGGUGGACAAGGGGUGAAGGAAUGUGGCACUCUUCGGAGUGUGUUAUAGCCUUUUCUCAUAUACAUCGGUUGGGAUUGAGGCCCGCAGCGCGCCCUUGUGGCCGGAGGUUCGCCUCACGUAACGCGCUUAGGAUGUUGGCAUAAUGGCUUUAAGCGACCCGUCUUGAAACACGGACCAAGGAGUCUAACAUGCUCGCGAGUGUUAGGGUGGAAAACCCUUGCGCGUAAUGAAAGUGAAAGUUGAGACCCUCCGCAAGGGGGUGCAUCGACGCCCGGCCCUGAAGUUUACUGACGGUGCUGCGGUAGAGCGCGUAUGUUGGGACCCGAAAGAUGGUGAACUAUGCCUGAAUAGGGCGAAGCCAGAGGAAACUCUG